GUCUAUAGCCAUACCACUCUGAGUGUACAUUGUCAGAAACUAAGCAGGGUUGAGCCUGGUUAGUACUCAGACAGGAGACGACCUGGGAAUACCCAGUGCUGCAGACU
rnacentral:rRNA from 1 species